GACGAACGCUGGCGGCGUGCCUAAUACAUGCAAGUCGAACGCAGUGGGGACGGGUGAGUAACACGUGGGUAACCUCCCAUCAGAGGGGAUAACACUUGGAAACAGGUGCUAAACCGAUACUGAUGGAUGGACCCGCGGUGCAUUAGCUGUUGGGUGAGGUAACGGCUCACCAAGGCAAUGAUGCAUAGUCGACCUGGGAGGGUAAUCGGCCACAUGGGGACUGUGACACGCCCCAAACGCCUACGGGAGGCAGCAGUAGGGAAUCUUCCGCAAUGGGCGCAAGCCUGACGGAGAAACGCCGCGUGAGUGAAGAAGGUUUUCGGAUCGUAAAGCUCUGUUGUAAGAGAAGCGGUAUCUUACCAGAAAGCCACGGCUAACUACGUGCCAGCCGCCGCGGUAAUUC
rnacentral:rRNA from 1 species